GCAUUGUAUGGCCUACUUAACU
rnacentral:miRNA from 1 species